rnacentral:rRNA from 1 species
GACGAACGCUGGCGGCGUGCCUAAUACAUGCAAGUCGAGCGGACUUUCAAGAAGCUUGCUCUUUGAAAGUUAGCGGCGGACGGGUGAGUAACACGUGGGCAACCUGCCUGCAAGACGGGGAUAACUCCGGGAAACCGGGGCUAAUACCGGAUAAUAUCUUCCUUCGCAUGAAGGAAGGGUGAAAGGCGGCGCAAGCUGCCGCUUGCAGAUGGGCCCGCGGCGCUUUAGGGAGUUGGUGAGGUAACGGCUCACCAAGGCGACGAUGCGUAGCCGAACUGGGGGGGGGAUCGGCCACCCUGGGACUGGGACAGGGCCCAGGCUCCUACGGGAGGGAGCAGUACGGGAACUUCCGCAAAUGGCGGAAGUCUGACGGAACAACGCCGCGGGGGCGCAGGAGGUCGUCGGGUCGUAAAGAUCUGUUGUCAGGGAAGAACAAGUUCCGUUCGAACAGGGCGGUACCUUGACGGUACCUGAUCAGAAAGCCACGGCUAACUACGUG